rnacentral:rRNA from 1 species
UACGUAGGGUGCAAGCGUUAAUCGGAAUUACUGGGCGUAAAGCGCACGUAGGCGGAUCGUUAAGUCGGGGGUGAAAUCCUGGAGCUCAACUCCAGAACUGCCUUCGAUACUGGCGAUCUUGAGUCCGGAAGAGGUGAGUGGAACUCCUAGUGUAGAGGUGGAAUUCGUAGAUAUUAGGAAGAACACCAGUGGCGAAGGGCGGACUCGCUGGUCCGGUACUGACGCUGAG